ACCCGGCUGACUCAGUCAGUGGAGUAUAUGACUCCCAAUCUUGAGGUUGUGGGUUUGAGGCCCACAUUGGGUG
rnacentral:tRNA from 1 species